CCUACGGAGGCUGCAGUGGGGAAUAUUGGACAAUGGGCGAAAGCCUGAUCCAGCCAUGCCGCGUGUGUGAAGAAGGCCUUCGGGUUGUAAAGCACUUUCAGUGGGGAAGAAAGCCUUGGGGCUAAUACCCUCGAGGAAGGACAUCACCCACAGAAGAAGCACCGGCUAACUCCGUGCCAGCAGCCGCGGUAAUACGGAGGGUGCGAGCGUUAAUCGGAAUUACUGGGCGUAAAGCGCGCGUAGGCGGUCUGAUAAGCCGGUUGUGAAAGCCCCGGGCUCAACCUGGGAACGGCAUCCGGAACUGUCAGGCUAGAGUGCAGGAGAGGAAGGGAGAAUUCCCGGUGUAGCGGUGAAAUGCGUAGAGACCGGGAGGAAUACCAGUGGCGAAGGCGGCCUUCUGGACUGACACUGACGCUGAGGUGCGAAAGCGUGGGUAGCAAACAGGAUUAGAUACCCCAGUAGUC
rnacentral:rRNA from 1 species